rnacentral:lncRNA from 1 species
GGGAGCACCCUGGGAAACAGUGUGGCUAUGACUUGGAGCUGCUCACCAGUUCCAGUCAUUCUGUGGUUGAGAGCUGCUCCCUAUGGAUGUUAAUUCUUCUCUAUUUUAGAUUUUCCACAGGUGUGGGCCCCAUUAGCUCUGGCCACCUGAGAAAGCCCUCAGGCAAAGAGUCGCAGGUGAAAGCCAGCAGUUAGAGGUUCACAGAAAUGAGUGCAGAAGCAUCUUCAGUUGGAGAGCCAUUGCCUCUUGCUGUGAAAUAUUUGGGAAUCUUCAGAAACCAUGAAGAAUAACCUGCUAAAGCUGAGCUGGGACUCUGCCUGGAUAUAACUUAUGGCCUAUUCUAUAUGGAAAGUUGGUUUUCUCACAGUUCCACUCCCUUUCCAGAUAUCAGCAAAUGGCCCUCCUAGCCCAGAAGUCUCCAGAGAGGGUUUUAUUUUGUCAGUCAAGCUGGAAUGCAGUGGCGUGAACAUUGCUUACUGCAGCUUCAAUCUCCUGAGGUCAAACAAUCUUCUCACCUCAGCCUCGCAAGCAGCUAGGACUACAGGCAUGUGCCACCACGCCCCACUAAUUUUUUAAUUUUUCUUUUGUGGAGACGCAGUCUUGUUAUCUUGAACAGGCUGGUCUUGAACUCUUGGAGUCAAGCAAUCCUUCUGCCUCAGACUCUCAAAGUGCUGGGAUUACAGGCAUGAGCCACCACAUUCAGCCAGGAAAAGUUUUUGUACAUUUAAAAAAUUAUAGGAUAUUUGUGUAUAUAGCUUUGCUGGUUUGACUUCCUAGAAUAGCUCCCAGGAACACAAAGUACUUAAUUGAUU